AGCGAAAUAAUAGUAGCGAAGUUCCUGAUGUCACACUGCCAAGAAAAGCUUCUAGUGAGAAAACAACUGCCCGUACCGUAAACCGACACAGGUAGUCGAGGAGAGUAUCCUAAGGUGAGCGAGCGAACUCUCGUUAAGGAACUCGGCAAAAUGACCCCGUAACUUCGGGAGAAGGGGUGCUGACUUCGGUCAGCCGCAGUGAAUAGGCCCAAGCGACUGUUUAUCAAAAACACAGGUCUCUGCAAAAUCGUAAGAUGAAGUAUAGGGGCUGACGCCUGCCCGGUGCUGGAAGGUUAAGAGGAUGGGUUAGCUUCGGCGAAGCUCAGAAUUGAAGCCCCAGUAAACGGCGGCCGUAACUAUAACGGUCCUAAGGUAGCGAAAUUCCUUGUCGGGUAAGUUCCGACCCGCACGAAAGGCGUAACGAUUUGGGCACUGUCUCAACGAGAGACUCGGUGAAAUUUUAGUACCUGUGAAGAUGCAGGUUACCCGCGACAGGACGGAAAGACCCCAUGGAGCUUUAC
rnacentral:rRNA from 1 species